UACGAAGGGGGGCUAGCGUUGCUCGGAAUCACUGGGCGUAAAGGGUGCGUAGGCGGGUCUUUUAAGUCAGGGGGUGAAAUCCUGGAGCUCAACUCCAGAACUGCCUUUGAUACUGAAGAUCUUGAGUUCGGGAGAGGUGAGUGGAACUGCGAGUGUAGAGGUGAAAAUUCGUAGAUAUUCGCAAGAACACCAGUGGCGAAGGCGGCUCACUGGCCCGAUACUGACGCUGAGGCACGAAAGCGUGGGGGAGCAAACAGG
rnacentral:rRNA from 1 species